rnacentral:rRNA from 1 species
AGGGUUUGAUCAUGGCUCAGAACGUACGCUGGCGGCACGCCUAACACAUGCAAGUCGAACGAAGUAGCAAUACUUAGUGGCAGACGGGUGAGUAACAUGUAGGUAUCUGCCCUUUGGCCUGGAAUAACACGAGGAAACUUGUGCUAAUACCGGAUAAGUCUUUACGGAGAAAGCUUUAUGCACCAUUGGAUGAGCCUGCACUUGAUUAGUUUGUUGGUGGGGUAAUGGCCUACCAAGACUGUGAUCAAUAGCUGAUUUGAGAGGAUGAUCAGCCACAUUGGGACUGAGACACGGCCCAAACUCCUACGGGAGGCAGCAGUGGGGAAUCUUGCACAAUGGAGGAAACUCUGAUGCAGCGAUGCCGCGUGAGUGAAGAAGGCCUUUGGGUUGUAAAGCUCUUUCGUCGGGGAAGAAAAUGACUGUACCCGAAUAAGAAGGUCCGGCUAACUUCGUGCCAGCAGCCGCGGUAAUACGAAGGGACCUAGCGUAGUUCGGAAUUACUGGGCUUAAAGAGUUCGUAGGUGGUUGAAAAAGUUGGUGGUGAAAUCCCAGAGCUUAACUCUGGAACUGCCAUCAAAACUUUUCAGCUAGAGUAUGAUAGAGGAAAGCAGAAUUUCUAGUGUAGAGGUGAAAUUCGUAGAUAUUAGAAAGAAUACCAAUUGCGAAGGCAGCUUUCUGGAUCAUUACUGACACUGAGGAACGAAAGCAUGGGUAGCGAAGAGGAUUAGAUACCCUCGUAGUCCAUGCCGUAAACGAUGUGUGUUAGACGUUGGAAAUUUAUUUUCAGUGUCGCAGCAAAAGCGAUAAACACACCGCCUGGGGAGUACGACCGCAAGGUUAAAACUCAAAUGAAUUGACGGGGACCCGCACAAGUAGUGGAGCAUGUGGUUUAAUUCGAAGAUACGCGCAGAACCUUACCAACACUUGACAUGUUCGUCGCGACUUUAAGAGAUUAAAGUUUUCGGUUCGGCCGGACGAAACACAGGUGCUGCAUGGCUGUCGUCAGCUCGUGUCGUGAGAUGUUGGGUUAAGUCCCGCAACGAGCGCAACCCUCACUUUUAGUUGCCAUCAUUUAGUUGGGCACUCUGAAAGAACUGCCAGUGAUAAGCUGGAGGAAGGUGGGGAUGACGUCAAGUCCUCAUGGCCCUUACGUGUUGGGCUACACACGUGCUACAAUGGCAUUUACAAUAGGAAGCAAGAUGGCGACAUUAAGCAAAUCCUAAAAAAAUGCCUCAGUUCGGAUUGUACUCUGCAACUCGAGUACAUGAAGCUGGAAU